rnacentral:rRNA from 1 species
GGGGUGCAGCAGGCGCGAACACUUUACAAUGCGGGAAACCGCGAUAAGGGAACCCCGAGUGCCAGCAUCAAAUGUUGGCUGUCCAGAUGAUUAAAAAUCAUUUGUUAGCAAGGGCCGGGCAAGACCGGUGCCAGCCGCCGCGGUAACACCGGCGGCCCGAGUGGUAGCCGUUUUUAUUGGGUCUAANGGGUCCGUAGCCGGCCUGAUAAGUCCUUUGGGAAAUCUGGCAGCUUAACUGUCAGGCUUCUAAGGGAUACUGUCAGGCUUGGGACCGGAAGAGGUAAGGGGUACUCCAGGGGUAGGAGUGAAAUCUUGUAAUCCCUGGGGGACCAUCUGUGGCGAAGGCGCCUUACCAGAACGGGUCCGACGGUGAGGGACGAAAGCUAGGGGAGCAAACCGGAUUAGAUACCCGGGUAGUCCUAGCUGUAAACGAUGCUCGCUAGGUGUCAGACACGGUGCGACCGUGUUUGGUGCCGCAGGGAAGCCGUUAAGCGAGCCACCUGGAAGUACGUCGCAAG